UUCAAUCACCCCUAAAUAAAUAAAUAAAAAAAAGGGAAAAACGUCAUCUAAUGGUUGCAUUAUCGUUUCCGCACGGUAAUAACAAAAAGAGUUAGAUAUAUGGUUUCAUUUUUGGUUGAUUUCCAAAUGAACUUCAUGGAAUGAACAUUCAAGGUGCUCAGUAUCUUCUUGAUUGAUUUUAUGAAAUAUUUAUACCUGUGCUGGGCGGAAAGAUUGGGGCUUUCUCAAAGAGUUUUUCUUUGUGGGUGCCACAGCUGUCCAAUAAUUGGUUAUGCAUGAGCUGCUUGGACUGCCAAUGAUGCGUGACCAUGCCCAAUUUGUGCCCUCAACUCGUCGCAUUUCUGCCAACUGCCAUUAAACUGCAAGAGCCAAUCAAAAAAACGUGAUUGCCGUGGAAGCAUGGGCUAGGAGAUGUGACCAAGGUCACACCUUUACGAGGGUGCCGUGCUCAACCCAGCUCCAACCUUCACCUGUAUUCCAAUGAUGUUCAACAAGUCCACCAUCUUCAGACAGCACAAAUAGCGAUCCUGUGAGUGAUAGAGAUGAUGACCUCAUAGCAGUUACUGGAAAUCUUGAUAGAUCAAAUGGUGAGACUGAUAAUGCUCAUACCACAGUUUUUCACUUUGUUAUAUUGAUAAGCUGACUGUUUCUUCCAAUGAAAAAUACUAUAUUUUCCCUGAAAAGCUUCUGGUCUACUAUGCUUGCUACAUUGGCAUUUGGGGGAUUUCCACAGUCUUUCCAUUUAAACUUCCUCAAGGCAACCUGUUAGUGAUUUGAAUCAUGAUCAGCAUAAACAUUGUAGGAAUCUGAUCAGCAAGAACAAGGAACUGGAGUGAUGGAAGUCAGUUGACUAUUUCUGGGACUUCCAUGAAUUAUCCAUUUCCAUUUCCUCUGAUGUAAACGUCUCUCUACCAAUUUCCCAUCCUGUAUAUAAAUGAAAUAUUGUUAACAUAUGGC